CCCCUGAAACCCUUUUCUCACACAAAAUUCCUCCCAAAGCCAUCCCCAAAUUCGAUGACGGCGGCUGCCGACCAUCAUCUUCACUUCUAUCCACCGUGUCGCCGUCAACUCUGUCCCCAUCCAUCUCGAUUUGCAUCUCCGGUUUGAUGUUGCUGCUUCGUCGUAUUCCUCUUUAUUUUUUUUUCAUAUAAUUCAUAUCUUUCUAUCAAGUAUUCUACAAGUAUUUAAACCCGUAUCACGACAAUUAUCAAUUCAUUCUUCUCAUUGACACAAAGUCAUGAUUCCCUACGCCAUCAAUCACCACCUAUCGACGUCAAUCGCCACCACUUUUAGGUACUAUGAUGAUUCCCUGUCGCCGCCGUCGGAUUCCAUUGAUUGAUUGGAUUGUCGAGGACUAGAGCGAUACAGUUAGGUCAUCACUGCCACCAGGGAUCGGUGUUUGCAUUGAUAUAUGUUGCUCACGACCAAGCAGAUGGAUAUCAUGCGAAAAGGUGAAGGUGGAUUUUAGGACUAUCCAAAAUUUCCCUUGACCCAGAGUAUACACCGUGAAUAUGGUGUAUAUGGAAGUAAACAAGAUGCAUAGCUUAUAUAAGAUGAUUGUCAAACAAAUCAUGAAGAGGCGUUUCAAGACCUUAUGGAAGAAAUGACUGAUCAAAUCAUAGUGGUGGAAGAGCAUUUGAAGGAACUCAAUAAAAUAUUAAACAUAUUUGUAUACUUUGAAAGAUGUUAUGGAUAAUAUCUACUAUAAUUAACGUGUAAUACCAUAUUAUUGUAUAAUUAUUUAAUGUAAUGGUUUAUUUUUAACA